rnacentral:rRNA from 1 species
AUUGAACGCUGGCGGCAGGCUUAACACAUGCAAGUCGAGCGGAGAUGAGGUGCUUGCACCUUAUCUUAGCGGCGGACGGGUGAGUAAUGCUUAGGAAUCUGCCAUUUAGUGGGGGACAACAUUCCGAAAGGAAUGCUAAUACCGCAUACGUCCUACGGGAGAAAGCAGGGGAUCUUCGGACCUUGCGCUAAAUGAUGAGCCUAAGUCGGAUUAGCUAGUUGGUGGGUAAAGGCCUACCAAGGCGACGAUCUGUAGCGGGUCUGAGAGGAUGAUCCGCCACACUGGGACUGAGACACGGCCCAGACUCCUACGGGAAGCAGCAGUGGGGAAUAUUGGACAAUGGGCGGAAGCCUGAUCCAGCCAUGCCGCGUGUGUGAAGAAGGCCUUUUGGUUGUAAAGCACUUUAAGCGAGGAGGAGGCUACCUAGAUUAAUACUCUGGGAUAGUGGACGUUACUCGCAGAAUAAGCACCGGCUAACUCUGUG